GAUGCCGACGAAGAAUUAGGUUCCAACCAGGGCGGAACCGGGGAAGACGGUGCGAAUCCGUCGCUGCCCCGCAUCUGUCACCGGAACGAAACCCGCAAGGAUGCCACUACCCCGCGGAAGGGGUGGGAAGGCGCGGGAAGUAGGCCGCCGGAAGCCAGAAGAUCCGGUCCGUCCUGUAUCAACCCA
rnacentral:ncRNA from 2 species